rnacentral:rRNA from 1 species
AGCGAACGCUGGCGGCAUGCCUAACACAUGCAAGUCGCGCGGUCAGCAAUGGCAGCGGCGGACGGGUGCGUAACGCGUAGGAACGUGUCUAGAGGUGGGGGACAACCCUGGGAAACUGGGGCUAAUACCGCAUAUGGGCUGAGGCCCAAAGCCGUGAGGCGCCUUUGGAGCGGCCUGCGUCCGAUUAGCUAGUUGGUGGGGUAAAGGCCUACCAAGGCUCCGAUCGGUAGCUGGUCUGAGAGGACGAUCAGCCACACUGGGACUGAGACACGGCCCAGACUCCUACGGGAGGCAGCAGUGGGGAAUAUUGGACAAUGGGCGCAAGCCUGAUCCAGCAAUGCCGCGUGGGUNNNNNNNNNCUUCGGAUCGUAAAGCCCUUUCGACAGGGACGA